AUUGAACGCUGGCGGCAUGCCUUACACAUGCAAGUCGAACGGCAGCACGGGAGCAAUCCUGGUGGCGAGUGGCGAACGGGUGAAGUAACAUAGUCGGAACGUGCCCGGUAGGUGGGGGAAUAACCCGGCGAAAGUCGGACUAAUACCGCAUACGACCUACGGGUGAAAGCGGGGGAUCGCAAGACCUCGCGCUAUUGGAGCGGCCGAUAUCAGAUUAGCUAGUUGGUGGGGUAAAGGCCUACCAAGGCGACGAUCUGUAGCUGGUCUGAGAGGACGACCAGCCACACUGGGACUGAGACACGGCCCAGACUCCUACGGGAGGCAGCAGUGGGGAAUUUUGGACAAUGGGCGCAAGCCUGAUCCAGCCAUGCCGCGUGCGGGAAGAAGGCCUUCGGGUUGUAAACCGCUUUUGUCAGGGAAGAAAAGGUUCGAGCUAAUACCUCGGACUAAUGACGGUACCUGAAGAAUAAGCACCGGCUAACUACGUG
rnacentral:rRNA from 1 species